UAUAAUUGUGGAAGGUGGUUUUAAUGGUGGCCAUCAAAAAUAUCUUGGAUGUAGAAGCCAUUGCAGACUUUGCUGAUGGUUGUCUAACUGUCCAUUGUGUGUAUAUAUAUAUAUGUAUAUACACAAACACAUGGAAAAAAGAAUCACAACAGUUAAGCUAUGCCAGCUGAGAUAUUUCACACUGGACAGCUGUAAAUGCGAGAACUAGAAAAGCAUUUGAUUGCAGCUUUUGCCUACCUGAGGAAAAAGAAUUUGAAAAGCUCUUAAGAGCCCAACAGUGAAACUUCUGAAGAAUGAUUAUCUUCCCUCUCCUUUUGGGCCAAGCUGAGAGAAGAAAAGCAAGUAGGAUGCGGCAGGUUUGACACCAAAGCAAGACCUGAUGCCACAGGGAUCAUCAGAAUCUAGUAAACAGAAAUAUCUAAGAAGAGCAGAUGCACAUUGUGUCUUCUAGGCAUCCUCUCAGUGGCAUGGUUGAAAUCCAGAUUCUGAUCACACAAGAUUCAGGUAAAGUUAACAUCUAAACACUUAACAGGGUUAUCAUUGCUACUUGCUUUUUGAUCAUGUAGUCACAAAUAUUUUCUGCUAUGAACAUCAAAUGAUAGUAGUUGUUAUAGUCCUUUACACUUAAAUAUUAUUUUUUUCCAUACCAUUCACACAAUAUGAAAAGAGUGACACCCUCAGUUUCAUGCUAAACAUGAAAGCACACAUAACAUUAUUCUAGUUUUCCCUUGAUAGGUUUUUGAGCACUAUGUGGUUGGUAAGUUGUCUCUCCAAGCCAGUGUACUCUUCCCAUUUUCUAUAGUAUUUUUAUUCUUAACCCUCCAUAUUCUCUGUGAUCACAGAUGUUGCGAUAUAUUUGUUUUCUUUUAGUAUUCGUUUGCACAAAUGUGUCAAAUGUAAAAUGUAAUAAAGAAAAAUACAGUAUUUUCAAACAGAAAAAAAAGGAAUAUCUGUUAUAGGAUCCUAAAUUUUGAUUAAGUUUAAGCAGGAGAGAGUUCACUGAAACCAGAGCCAGAUUCCUAUGCAACCUGUGUGCAUGAGAAUUUUCUUCACAACAGGAUGAGGCUUUUGUUAAGAGAUCAAAAUCUCCACUUUCCUUAUUGAAGUACACAACAGAAGACUUAAUUCUAAAGACUUUUGUCUUCUAGGCAGAUUCUUUACAGUCACACCUUUUCUUUAGGAGGAAAGGAACUGCAAAGAGAACAGAAGCCAUAGCUCAGACCAUAGGACUUCUUUGUCAGACCAUAGGAAUUCUUUGCUAUCCACCAAAACUAGCCACUACUUCUUUCCAAUACGUUCCAAAAAGUUAAGAGUUAAUAAAGGUUAUUAAU
rnacentral:lncRNA from 7 species